rnacentral:rRNA from 1 species
AACGCGAAGAACCUUACCAGCCCUUGACAUCCGUCGACCGUCGCAGAGAUGCGUUUUUCCCUUCGGGGACGGCGAGACAGGUGCUGCAUGGCUGUCGUCAGCUCGUGUCGUGAGAUGUUGGGUUAAGUCCCGCAACGAGCGCAACCCUCGCCUUCAGUUGCCAGCAUUCAGUUGGGCACUCUGGAGGGACUGCCGGUGAUAAGCCGGAGGAAGGUGGGGAUGACGUCAAGUCCUCAUGGCCCUUACGGGCUGGGCUACACACGUGCUACAAUGGCGGUGACAAUGAGCAGCGACUUCGCGAGGAGGAGCUAAUCUCAAAAAGCCGUCUCAGUUCGGAUUGCACUCUGCAACUCGAGUGCAUGAAGUCGGAAUCGCUAGUAAUCGCGUAACAGCAUGACGCGGUGAAUACGUUCCCGGGUCUUGUACACACCGAA